CGAUUCUCGUUCAGAUUUCAAGCUAUCAAGACGUGCACGGGCGUUUGCAAAAGAUGACAGCAGGAUUCACAGGCAGCACCGUGUCUCGUGUGCGCGAUGCAGCACACGAAUAGUGGGGAGAAUGAAAGAGGCAACGAGUCGGGGUAAUGGUGAAGGGAACGAGGGGAAAGAGGGAGAGGAAGCUAGAAAGUGGGGAGGGUAAAAAGAGAGAAGAGGGGGACCGACGAGGAAGGUAGAGAGGAAGAGCGAGGAAGAAAGAGAAGACAUUGACCGAACGAGCAGCCGCGCGACAAGGCCUCCUUUGCCGUGCCAGGCCAGCUGGAAGGAACGAAGCCCGAACCCUGACUUCUCUUUCUCGGCUCUGGUGUAUUACUUUCCUUUUCCAAUAACCGUCUACUCUUUCUCUCUACCCCCCCUUCUUGUACGGUUGGCUACCAAAGAAACGAUGGGAAAAAGCCACUAGAGCUCACGGUGUAAAAAACUACCACCUAGCCAUACUCCACCUGCGCACGUGUGCCAACUGCGAAGUGAAACCCCCUAGGACGUGUAUCGCGGUCAGAUUACAUACUCCUCAACUAAGACGAAUUAAUUGAAUAAACAUCCGACUAGAAAAUAUGUAUAGAAAGGAGGCGAAGAACUGUAUUACUACAAGUAACAUGUUCUUUGCCUUUUUCUUAUUUAUUCAAUGGAGAAAGUGAAUCUGAAUCAUUCUCUGUUUAUUUAUUAUAACAAAAGUACUGUAUUUUUUAUUUAAACAAUCUAUUAUAAGUAUUUUAAGUAAUAUAUAGAAGGCAAAUCUUUAGUUUUGUUUAGUUAAAAGAUAAAGAAGCAUUUGGCUGUCCGGGAGGCAAAGUUCCUCGACAUGGGACGAGUAAAGGAAGGUCGUUCCCGGACGUGCGGACGUUCCACCGGUCGGCUACUCCGUGCUUUGGCUAGCCGGCUACUAAACUCGUCUGUACAACGUUGCCACGUCUAUUCGUUCGGUGUUGACACGGUCGGACUCUAAUUCAGCUACUACUCACAGUUCGCGACAUUAAUUCGCGCAUAAUUCGAAGAAACAGAUACUGUAAUUAAACAACGAAUCUGUCUUCUAUGUAUUAUUUCAAUCAUUACGCUAAUUCUGUUUUUGAUCAUUAAGAAACUUGAUCUUUGAAAUGUUCACGGAUUCAAAUUUUGCCGCUUUCCCGCGUAACGACUUCCGACCAAUCGGAAGCGCCAGAGAUUCCCCCAUCGUUAAAUUUGACAGCCAUGUUUCUUUUUUGACGAAUGUCACUAGCGUCAAGAUUAAGUAUUCUUCAUUUCUCGUUUGUAACAAGCGGAUAAUAACAGUCGUUCGGACAUCUGUUUGACGAAAAUUCCGGCUAGUUGCCAGUACCAAAUUGACGUGCCGAGCGUGAAACGAUGCUGGCCAUGGUCCAAAAAUUAUUCGAAAGUAAACAUAUAUCAUGGUAGCAUUGUUUAUAUUCAAAGGUACCGUCUUCUCGUUGCUUCGACCGAAAGAAGCCUGUAAGGUAUUUCGAAACUUUCACUACGUAAAACCUUUCGUGCGAUACCCGAUUCGGAAGGAAAAUAUAUUGGAAGAAGUAAAAGUGUUUAUAAAACAGACGUUCGUGAAUGUAACGAUGUUAAUCAACGAACGAGAAACAUGACUAACUCUCGGCAGGAGAGAUUCUUAUCGCGGAUGAUGUAUUUUAACACCAUUAAGUGACGCAAACCUUCGAAUGGAAUGUGGCGAAGAGAAAAGAAAAAAGAAGAGAAAUGCAAUCAGCAUUUUAAUGGUGUCGAGUGAGUUUCGUUUUUUUUUUUUGUAAUUUCGAAACGAUCAAGGCGAUUGGUCAAAUACGCAUCCGGAAGCAAAGUGUUCGUCUUCUUUCGUGUCAAAUUAUAACGAAAAAGAAAAAAACUGGGUCAACUCAUCGUGCAGGUGCACGACCGUGUUUCGUCCAUCAUCGAUAUAUGUAUCUCUUUUGUCGUUUCUAUAUCGAUUCAGGAGCUCCUUUGCAAUUUCUUCCCUUUCAAAGAAAACAUAUCUGGCACAGUGUAAACAGGAAAUUUUGCACGGGUUAACAGGUAUAUAAACGGGAGAAAAAUCGUGAGCGUGGAGAAUAAAAAAAAAAAAAAAGAAAAGAAAAGAAAAAAAAAACAAGAGGGAAGAGAAAGAGAAGAAACGGGACAGAAAAAUGGGUCGCGAGUCAGUUUCGCUUGGUGGUGAUACGUCUAGCGGGCUACCAUCUCUCGUCGGAACUCUCUCCGGUGGUCGAUUUUCAGCGACGACGAUUUCAGGCAUCCCCGUUGGCACCGGCGGCCAAGCUGAUUUAUCGAGUGGCGUGGCGUUGCUGACCUCACUCUCGGUACGGCUAACGACGGCUAAGAGGAGCUCUCUUGGUAAUCUGCCGAAUGCCAGCUCCAAGUCAUACAGGAUGUUCAAAAAAGCCUGGGUCAAACUCGGAGGAGCACGCGUCAUUUCCCAGUGCCCAUUGUACGCGACAAUGUACAACAAGUGAGUCAUACUGCGGUAUAAACGGUGCUUGUAGAGUGACAUUACGGUCGCACGUGAUGCAUCAAGCAUUAUUUGCAAAUGAUCGUUACAGUAACUAGUUACACCAGCCUCGUUCGUCCAAAGGAAUUAUUAGAGUAAAAAGGAAAAAACUGGCCGUGACUCGAAACAGGGUCAAGCAUAAUACAUUCACUCGGCAAAGUAACGUUUUGAUAUUACCAAAUAUUUCCUCCAUUACACCAAUUCGCAGACUGAAGAAAUACGAAUCGACGCAACGUUCCCCUAUCUCGAGCACAGGAAUCAUCGAUUACACAUCAAGAUAAGAGGAAAUCAGUCGAGUGGUGAAUCCGAAUCUCAGAUCGAACGAGCCACGGAACAAGAUAUUAUUGCGAAUUCAGCCAGAAGGAGGAGCGUGUGUAAAUAAUGAGAUCAUCAGGAAGGUGAACACGACCGAUGAACUUGUUCCAUUGUAACCGAACACCCAUGCCUCUGCCUGCAAUUAUUGUGCCUGCCAUGCGAAAACACGUAUUACUUACGUAAUCGUACGGUGACACUGACCUCACUCUAAAUCCAUAAGUGGCUGUUAAUUAUCGAGUGGCAACGAUUUCAACGAUUUCGACGAGGUGGGGAGAGCGAGGUUAGGUCGAGGGGUGGAGCAUAUACACAUAAAGGGGAUGAGAGAAAGAGAGAGAGAGAAAUGAAGGGAGAGCCGAUAGAGAGUAGCCCGCUAAUCAGUCCGGUCGGAUAUCGCAAUAUGUGGGAUACGCUUGGUUGAUUCUGAACAGGACGAGUUUACCCUAACGUAAUUAAUGUUCCUCAUACAAUGUGACGUGUAACGACAAAUUCGAUUGACGUCACAAAGUGGAGAGAAUGGAUAGGUUAUUGAAUUCGUCUUGAAACGUACAUUCGGCUGUAGGUUUGGCUAAGGGUAAGGGAAGGAGCCUUCCAUCGACUGCUUUGUGUUUUGGGGGGAGCUUAGAGAAAAUCUAAAGCUCAGUUUAUGCUGGUGGUAGUAAAAAUCUGCCCUGAAGCGAUUGGUAGAAUACUAAAGCCAAACUCGAAUAAACUUGAUUGAACGAAGAAAAGAUUCUUUCCAUCUGAUAUAAAUAAUUUUUUCUUUAACAAUCCAUCAGAUAUUUCUGAUAGAGUAAGCUAGACUGCACGUUUUUAGCUGAAUCAAUUAUAAAUAAACGCCCUCCUAUUAAAAGCGUCGUGGUAUUUUCAGAUUCCAUUCAGCCAUCGCACACAUAUUCAUUCGUCCGAUGAACGAGGACGGUCUAGGUGAAUUUACAGCUGGGACAACGACGAAACGAACCCGUACGCGCGUUAAUAUAUGUUCUUCUUUUGUUUCACGCGGGUUAGGUGACGUUUAAUUGCUAGGGUAGACCCGACUGUUUUCAUCGCGGUUGAUUACAGGCUGUUCAAAAUAAUUAUCGGGUUUACGUACGUUCCGACGAUUAUUGUAUCAUUUAAAGAAGACGUUUGACAUAUUUUAAGGAAACUUAUUGCUCGAGAAUAGUAGCAGCAUCAUUUUUAUCCAUCAGCUGCUGAAAACGGUACAACCCUCCGAGUAUUCUAAACAAACGGUGAAAAAGGAACGAAGCGGAACACCUACUAUUACAGUUGCUCCCGAUCAUUGAAAUCGGCCUUCCUGUUUCAGAAGCACAGCGGUAUCAUCAGCGGCGACUCGAGACGGAUCAUUUUUCAUUUAUGCGCUCCGGGGUAAUGCGUACCAUUGAAUGUCGCUAAUUACUCGCACGGGAGGAUCAACAUCUUUUUCUCUCCCUGGGAUAAAUGAAAUGCUCACGAUGCCGGACAAGAUAAUUAAGUAUUACGGAGCACGGUGUUACCCCGAAGAAUGUAAGAACACCAGAAGGAGCCGAGGAACGCAACGGAUAAGAAAGAAUCUCUGAUAUAAGGACACUCAACCCGGGUAGAGAUCGAACGUUCCUGUUGCGAGACGACGAAAAAGUCCGAAAGGAUUUUUCCCGGUGCAACCGAGGAAUUCCGAAAAGAAAAUCAUCGACGCGUGCGUUCUCCGGUAGAAACGCGAAACCAUCAGACGUUCGAGGAGCUGGCAACAUGUUUCAGAAAAUUGAAAACCGUGUAAUGGAAGCAGAGAACAGUUGAAAAUAUAUUAAUUCCAGCGCAACGAACUCGAAAAAACGAAAAGGAUUCAAGCAGGAAGAAUAUUGCGUUUCAGCCGGUUGGAUUGAUAAGCGAAGAUCUGGCAUUUCCUGCUAAAGCGUUCACCACCAGCCUUUACAGCUGUUGUGCACCGUCCAGAAGCUCAGGUUGGAUCGCGAACCCGUUCAGGAACAAGAGGGACCGGUUUAAGAGGUUUACGUCGUGGCUACUUUCUCCGUGACAAUAACAAUGCACUUUGUGCCUCGAUAAUGCACCGAAUGAACGAGUAAAUAACAAGCAUGUCUCGAAUGUCUUCCCCUUCUUGUUUAUAUUUUUCUCUCUGUUGGAAUGCCUGAAGUAUACCGGACGAGAUUUAUGAAAUAGUAUUACCACUGCGUUAAAGAAGAAGGUCAAGCUAAAAUUUGGACAUUUAGAGCAACAGAUGAGAAACAUCUGCUCUGUUUCUGUAUGCAAGCUAGUGAAAUUGGGACACGAUGAACCAGCGAUACGGUUGAAAUCAAGGUGCGACGCUUGCGACGGAUGUAAAUUCUGGGCUAUCCGUUAACCAGAAAUAAACAGAGGAAGGAUAGAACGUUUCUUUAAUGUACAGUAAUUGAUAUUCAAUAUCCUACUUUGCAAAUUAGCAAUUAAUUUAAUUACUGUAGAAUCCGGAACGAAAUUUAAUGGAAGCACGGAGAAAUUAAAUACUGAAAAUCAAUUAAUAAGCACUGAAAUAUUUCAAAGAAUAUUUUAUGAAUUAGAAAUUUUUUU